GUGGGGAAUUUUGGACAAUGGGCGAAAGCCUGAUCCAGCCAUGCCGCGUGCAGGAUGAAGGCCUUCGGGUUGUAAACUGCUUUUGUACGGAACGAAAAGACUCCUUCUAAUAAAGGGGGUCCAUGACGGUACCGUAAGAAUAAGCACCGGCUAACUACGUGCCAGCAGCCGCGGUAAUACGUAGGGUGCAAGCGUUAAUCGGAAUUACUGGGCGUAAAGCGUGCGCAGGCGGUUAUAUAAGACAGAUGUGAAAUCCCCGGGCUCAACCUGGGAACUGCAUUUGUGACUGUAUAGCUAGAGUACGGUAGGGGGGGAUGGAAUUCCGCGUGUAGCAGUGAAAUGCGUAGAUAUGCGGAGGAACACCGAUGGCGAAGGCAAUCCCCUGGACCUGUACUGACGCUCAUGCACGAAAGCGUGGGGAGCAAACAGGAUUAGAAACCCGGGUAGUCC
rnacentral:rRNA from 1 species